GACGAACGCUGGCGGCGCGCUUAACACAUGCAAGUCGAACGGAAAGGCCCUGCUUGCAGGGUACUCGAGUGGCGAACGGGUGAGUAACACGUGGGUGAUCUGCCCUGCACUUCGGGAUAAGCCUGGGAAACUGGGUCUAAUACCGGAUAGGAGCCAUUUUUAGUGUGAUGGUUGGAAAGUUUUUUCGGUGUAGGAUGAGCUCGCGGCCUAUCAGCUUGUUGGUGGGGUAAUGGCCUACCAAGGCGGCGACGGGUAGCCGGCCUGAGAGGGUGGACGGCCACAUUGGGACUGAGAUACGGCCCAGACUCCUACGGGAGGCAGCAGUGGGGAAUAUUGCACAAUGGGCGCAAGCCUGAUGCAGCGACGCCGCGUGGGGGAUGACGGCCUUCGGGUUGUAAACUCCUUUCGCUAGGGACGAAGCUUUUUGUGACGGUACCUAGAUAAGAAGCACCGGCUAACUACGUG
rnacentral:rRNA from 1 species